ACCAAGUUUCGCCCAGGAACUCGGACAGUCUCUUCUCCAUCUACAAGGAGUAUGGUGAAUCUCUACAUGAUUACAUGGCGUAUUUCAAUAUGGCUACAUUGGAAGUAUGCAACCUAGAUGAAGCCAUCACUAUAUCAGCUUUGAAGCAAAGCCUCUGAAUUAAUGAGUGCCUCACUUACACCCUUGACAAAACAUACUUGAGGGAUUACUUGUUGGGAGGAUCCCUCACGAAUGCAGAAUAUGAAUCCUCACCCAAGAUCAUAAACACUAGUGAUGAUGUAGAUACUAUAGGAGGAA
rnacentral:lncRNA from 1 species